UUGUCGGCAACUAACUUCGCAGAAACCAUAUGUCAUGAGAUGGGAAAACUUAGUUUGGAAAUUAUUUCCCAUGGCACCUUAGGUCAUGUUUCCAUUGAAUCUACCUUAGAGGACCAAAUUGGGCUGAUACAAUUAGAAGAUGAGGAAAUAAAGCUAAUUAAGGAGAAAGUUGCAAAGAGAGAUGAGGGGUAUAAACAUUUCCGACAAGAUGAGAAGGGAAUAGUGUACUAUGAGAACCGAC
rnacentral:lncRNA from 1 species